AUAUAUGAGAAAGUACAGUAACAUCCUUUUCCCCAGGUCAGUAGCCAGGUAGAUGUUAUAGCUGAUUGAAAAAUAAUAUUUCCUACCAAAGGUAUCAAAAGGAAUGAACAUUUUCAUGUUUUCUUUCUUAGAAGUUUUCCAGUUUCUCUACAAAAUCCCCCCAUGUACUUUUGUUAAAAAAUGCGGGAAAAUCAACAAGAUUAAACCAUAUUGUAGAAAAUAUAUAUGAUGUGAAAAUUCAUUUUAUACUGGAAUUUUUUUCUUAUCAGCUCUAGCAAGCACAGGGCAUUUUUAUGAUCCUUGGGGGUUCCAUUGGUAUAAGCCUAUUGUUCCUUAUUUCCUGUCCUAAGCCAUUAUGCACAAUGUUACCUCUUCUUUUGCUGUUGUAUUGUACCCUAGAGUUGGCUGAAUUUCAGGACUGGACUGAGUGAGAGUACAGAACUUGGAGAACUUUGUGAAAACAAGCUACUGUAGCUGACUUGCCAGCUUGGUUACACAUGCUCCAAAGAUGGGUGGAGUCCAGAUUCCUGGCUACUUGAAGAGGCCACAUCCUGUUAGCUGCACAAUCUUCAUGCUAUUGGCCACUGUGAAGAUGAAUGGACUCCUGGGGUGUCUCAGAAUAUUCUUUACCUCUGGAGGAUUCUUGUGUACAAGGGACAGUAUCCAAAAUGCUUUCAGAAUAUAGAAAUCAGUUGGAAAUUUCUUGGGAAAUUUCAUUGAAAAAUGAUGUGUC